CCUACGGGAGGCUGCAGUGGGGAAUCUUGGACAAUGGGCGCAAGCCUGAUCCAGCCAUGCCGCGUGAGUGAUGAAGGCCUUAGGGUUGUAAAGCUCUUUUGUCGGGGACGAUAAUGACGGUACCCGAAGAAUAAGCUCCGGCUAACUUCGUGCCAGCAGCCGCGGUAAUACGAAGGGAGCUAGCGUUGUUCGGAAUCACUGGGCGUAAAGCGCACGUAGGCGGAUUUGUUAGUGAGGGGUGAAAUCCCGGGGCUCAACCUCGGAACUGCCUUUCAUACUGCAGAUCUCGAGUCCGAUAGAGGUGGGUGGAAUUCCUAGUGUAGAGGUGAAAUUCGUAGAUAUUAGGAAGAACACCGGUGGCGAAGGCGGCCCACUGGAUCGGUACUGACGCUGAGGUGCGAAAGCGUGGGGAGCAAACAGGAUUAGAUACCCCGGUAGUC
rnacentral:rRNA from 1 species